AAAAAGACAAACUAUUAUGUCUGUGUUCAACGUUUGACCGUCGGUCUUAUUGAAAAAAUUAUGAAAAAAUUAAAAAGAUAAGUCACGCAUAAAAUAUUAAUCAUGUUUUAUCAUCUAACAACAAUGAAAAUACUAAUUAUAAAAAAAAUUCAUAUAAAACGGACAGUCAAAUGUUGGCAUGGAAACCCACAGUUUGUCUUUUU
rfam:Oryza sativa Japonica Group DNA, chromosome 10, cultivar: Nipponbare, complete sequence.